rnacentral:lncRNA from 1 species
UAUAUCAGAGGUCUUUGUGUUUCUCCUGCUGCACAGACUGCUUCAUCUGAAGUGUGUCCGAUGAAGGUUAUAGAUAUAUCAUCUUCAAUUCUUGUUUCAAAAUUUCUGGCAGGAUCUUUUUUUAUUUUCUCUAAAUAUGAAGGAUUUCUUUCUUAGAUAUAGCUCCUUUUCUCAUCUGGAGCUUUCUGGUAAUCUAUUGAAUGGGGCUUAUUUCACCUUCGUCAAUAUUGGUUUUCUCUUGUUUGACAUAGAUUUCAAUUUUAUCCUUGAUUUGUUGAAUUAAUUCUUCGCAAAAUAAUUUUUCUUGCUGAUUUUUUUGAACUAAUUUGGUCCAGAAUUUGUUAUAAACAAUCCUUUGAAGACAAGGAAUUCCUUCAUUGGUACAACCAGUUUCCCAUUUCAUUAUCCAGGGAAUGGAGAACUCUAUGAAAAAAUACAUAGCACAUAUACCAUCAUAAAAGAUAUCAUCUUUUUGUAA